rnacentral:rRNA from 1 species
UACGUAGGGUGCAAGCGUUGUCCGGAAUUAUUGGGCGUAAAGAACUCGUAGGCGGUCUGUCGCGUCUGCUGUGAAAACUCAGGGCUUAACCCUGAGCUUGCAGUGGGUACGGGCAGACUAGAGUGCGGUAGGGGAGACUGGAAUUCCUGGUGUAGCGGUGAAAUGCGCAGAUAUCAGGAGGAACACCCGUAGCGAAGGCGGCACUCUGGGCCGAUACUGACACUGAGGAGCGAAAGCGUGGGGAGCGAACAGG